UACGACUACAUAUCAGGCAUAUCAAUAAGCGGAGGAAAAGAAACUAACUAGGAUUCCCCUAGUAACGGCGAGUGAAGCGGGAAGAGCUCAAAUUUGAAAUCUUAAAGGGUUCUACCUUGACGAAUUGUAGUUUAAAGAAGUGUUUUCUGUUGGAGUUUUGGUAAAAGUUCUUUGGAAUAGGACAUCAUAGAGGGUGAGAAUCCCGUAUUUGACCAUUAUUUCAGCUGUGUGAUACACUUUCAAAGAGUCGGAUUGUUUGGGAAUGCAGUCCAAAAUGGGUGGUAAAUUUCAUCUAAAGCUAAAUAUUGGCGAGAGACCGAUAGCGAACAAGUACCGUGAGGGAAAGAUGAAAAGAACUUUGAAAGGAGAGUUAAACAGUACGUGAAAUUGUCAAAAGGGAAGCGUUUGACACCAGUGUUGUUUUCUCGAAAAUCAAUUAAAAAAGGCUGGAUUUUGUGUUGUAUUGACCUUAAUCAGCUUGCUUCACUCUUUUCUUGUCUUUUUUAAUGCACUUUUCGUUUAACAAGUCAACAUCAAUUUCUUUUGUUGUAAAAGGGUCAUUGGAAGGUGGCUUUCUUUUCGGAGAAAGUGUUUAUAGCCUUUGGCCUCUGCAAUCGGAGAGAUUGAGGUCUGCAGCGUAGAUCCUUCGGGGUUAGAUACAUUUGUGCUAAGUUAUAGCCUUUCAUAGACAACUUGUUGACUAUGAUCAGUCAUGUAGCUUACUCGCUUAUGCUAUUUUACCUACGCUUAGGAUGUUGAGCGCAUGUCUCUCUCU
rnacentral:rRNA from 1 species